rnacentral:rRNA from 1 species
AACGAACGCUGGCGGCAUGCCUAACACAUGCAAGUCAAACGAGACCUUCGGGUCUAGUGGCGCACGGGUGCGUAACGCGUGGGAACCUGCCCUUAGGUUCGGGAUAACUCCCCGAAAGGGGUGCUAAUACCGGAUAAUGUCUUCGGACCAAAGAUUUAUCGCCUUUGGAUGGGCCCGCGUUGGAUUAGCUAGUUGGUAGGGUAAAAGCCUACCAAGGCGACGAUCCAUAGCUGGUCUGAGAGGAUGAUCAGCCACACUGGGACUGAGACACGGCCCAGACUCCUACGGGAGGCAGCAGUGGGGAAUAUUGGACAAUGGGCGAAAGCCUGAUCCAGCAAUGCCGCGUGAGUGAUGAAGGCCUUAGGGUUGUAAAGCUCUUUUACCCGGGAUGAUAAUGACAGUACCGGGAGAAUAAGCUCCGGCUAACUCCGUG